GCCCUCUGGGUCCAACCUCCCAUCCGUGUCUAUCUGUAUGUGCAGCUAAGUUUGCAGUCUGAGUUUUUAGUUAAACAAUAAUUAAAACUUUCAACAACGGAUCUCUUGGUUCCGGCAUCGAUGAAGAACGCAGCGAAAUGCGAUAAUUAAUGUGAAUUGCAGAAUUCAGUGAAUCAUCGAGUCUUUGAACGCACAUUGCGCCCCCUGGUAUUCCGGGGGGCAUGCCUGUCCGAGCGUCAUUGCUGCCCUCAAGCACGGCUUGUGUGUUGGGCUUCCGUCCCUGGUAACGGGGACGGGCCCAAAAGGCAGUGGCGGCACCAUGUCUGGUCCUCGAGCGUAUGGGGCUUUGUCACCCGCUCCCGUAGGUCCAGCUGGCAGCUAGCCUCGCAACCAAUCUUUUUAACCAGGUUGACCUCGGAUCAGGUAGGGAUACCCGCUGAACUUAAGCAUAUCAAUAAGCCGGAGGAACUCGGCCUUACAAUAUAAUAAACGGCUUGAGACCUCAAAUCAGGUAGGAUUACCCGCUGAACUUAAGCAUAUCAAUAAGC
rnacentral:rRNA from 1 species